GCGCGCUUAGCUCAGUUGGUUAGAGUGCCACAUUGACAUUGUGGAGGUCACUGGUUCGAGUCCAGUAGCGCGCA
rnacentral:tRNA from 2 species